rnacentral:tRNA from 1 species
GCUGGGAGAGCGCCUGCUUUGCACGCAGGAGGUCAGCGGUUCGAUCCCGCUAGGCUCCACUUGAUUUCAAAAA